GUGACAGCACUGAAGCCCUCUAUUUAGCCACAGAAUAGGCCCAACAAUAGCAAUAACAGUGACUUUUAACUGCUGCUUUCUGCACUAAACAUCUGUAGUCCUGCAAAUCGGUGCAGGGGGCUUCAUAAGCACUUCAGAAAUUCACUGCG
rnacentral:sRNA from 7 species